rnacentral:ribozyme from 1 species
UGUGAUCUUCGUCGUCGACAGUAACGACACCAACCGCUUGAAGGAGGCACGUCUGGAGUUGUGGCGUGUGCUGGAAUCGCCCGAGCUCAGCGCCGCCGUCGUCCUCGUCUUU